rnacentral:rRNA from 1 species
CAUGCAAGUCGAGGGGCAGCAUAAUGGAUAGCAAUAUCUAUGGUGGCGACCGGCGCACGGGUGCGUAACGCGUAUGCAACCUACCUUUAACAGGGGGAUAACACUGAGAAAUUGGUACUAAUACCCCAUAAUAUCAUAGAAGGCAUCUUUUAUGGUUGAAAAUUCCGAUGGUUAGAGAUGGGCAUGCGUUGUAUUAGCUAGUUGGUGGGGUAACGGCUCACCAAGGCGACGAUACAUAGGGGGACUGAGAGGUUAACCCCCCACACUGGUACUGAGACACGGACCAGACUCCUACGGGAGGCAGCAGUGAGGAAUAUUGGUCAAUGGACGCAAGUCUGAACCAGCCAUGCCGCGUGCAGGAUGACGGCUCUAUGAGUUGUAAACUGCUUUUGUACGAGGGUAAACGCAGAUACGUGUAUCUGUCUGAAAGUAUCGAACGAAUAAGGAUCGGCUAACUCCGUGCCAGCAGCCGCGGUAAUACGGAGGAUUCAAGCGUUAUCCGGAUUUAUUGGGUUUAAAGGGUGCGUAGGCGGUUUGAUAAGUUAGAGGUGAAAUUUCGGGGCUCAACCCUGA